UCUCAUUCAGACUGGGCUCUGCUUAUCUGGGACACCAGCUCUACCUCCCCUCUCUGCCUGGGAAGGGGUGGAUUUGCGGGUGGCAGGAAAUGAGAGAAAAGAGGGACCCGGUUAGAAGAACAAUGGCUCCUUCCUUCACUGGCCUCUGCCCAACCACACACUUCGGGGAAGCCCCCCCCCAACCCCCGCAGCCAGAUCCUGCGCCCUCUGCCAAUCGACCGACCGCCGCCUCUACAGGUCCCUGUGGCCAGAUCCCGCGCCCUCGG
rnacentral:sRNA from 1 species